UGGGAUGUCGCCAAGUGGUAAGGCAACGGGUUUUGAUCCCGUCAUUCGCAGGUUCGAUCCCUGCCAUCCCAGCCA
rnacentral:tRNA from 1 species